CCUGGUUGAUCCUGCCAGUAGUCAUAUGCUUGUCUCCAAGGUUAAGCCAUGCAUGUGUAAGUAUGAACAAAUUCAGACUGUGAAACUGCGAAUGGCUCAUUAAAUCAGUAAUAGGCUGUUUGAUGGUACCUACUACUCGGAUAACCGUAGUAGAUCUAGAGCUAAUACGUGCAACAAGUCCCAACUCUUGGAAGGGAUGCAUUUAUUAGAUAAAAGGUCAAUGCGGGUUUUUCCCGUUUUUACGAUGAUUCAUGAUAACUUGACGGAUCGCAAGGCCAUAGUGUUGGCGACGCAUCAUUCAAAUUUCUUCCCUAUCAACUUUCGAUGGUAGGAUAGUGGCCUACCAUGGUGGUGACGGGUGACGGAGAAUUAGGGUUCGAUUCCGGAUAUGAAGCCUGAGAAACAGCUACCACAUCCAAGGAAGGCAACAGGUGCGCAAAUUACCCCAUCCUGACACGGGGAGGUUGUGACAAUAAAUAACAAUACUGGGCUCAUUCGAGUCUAGUAAUUGCAAUGAGUACAAUCCAAAUCCCUCAACGAGGAUCCAUUGGAGGGCAAGUCUGGUGUCAGCAGCCACGGUAAUUCCAGCUCCAAUAGCGUAUAUUUAAGUUGUUGUAGUUAAAAAGCUCGUAGUUGGACUUUGAGAAGGGUUUGCCGGUCCGCCUCAUGGUGUGCAUCGUUGAACUUGUCUCUAUUGCUGGUGAUGUGCUCCUGGUCUUAAUUGGUCGGGUCAUGCCUCCAGUGCUGUUACUUUGAAGAAAUUAGAGUGCUCAAAGCAAGCCUAAGCUCUAUAUACAUUAGCAUGGGAUAACAUUAUAGGAUUUCGAUCCUAUUACGUUGGCCUUUGGGAUCGGAGUAAUGAUUAACAGGGACAGUCGGGGGCAUUUGUAUUUCAUAGUCAGAGGUGAAAUUCUUGGAUUUAUGAAAGACGAAGAACUGCGAAAGCAUUUUCCAAUGAUGUUUUCAUUAAUCAAGAACGAAAGUUGGGGGCUCGAAGACGAUCAGAUACCGUCCUAGUAUCAACCAUAAACGAUGCCGACUAGGGAUCGGUGGAUGUUGCUUUUAGGACUCUACCGGCACCUUAUGAGAAAUCAAAGUCUUUGGGUUCUGGGGGGGGAGUAUGGUCGCAAGGCUGAAACUUAAAGGAAUUGACGGAAGGGCACCACCAGGACUGGAGCCUGCAGCUUAAUUUGACUCAACAUGGGGAAACUUACCAGGUCCAGACAUAGUAAGGAUUGACAGAUUGAGAACUCUUUCAAAGGUAACAUGUAAAUUAUUAUUACCUGUAAUCAAAUGAAUACAAGAAUGUCAAAUGCUUAACCACAAGAUGGUUACUUGCAUUGGUACACAAAAAUACAAACUUAUCACCUAUACAAAACAGAAAAUUACAAUUCAAAAUGGACCUACACAAACAAAGGUAGUAGGCCAUACAGAUUACAAAAAUUGAUCCACUAAGAUCCAUUAAGAUUAUCCAUUACAAACACAACAAAGAAGAUUACAACCAAAACCGAAACAAGUCUCUGAUCCAAACUCAAGUGUUGCACAGCAUUCCACAAUCCAGCUAAAAAUCAAGCAAGGCAUUAAGACUUGGUUUCAAUCAUUGCAGGUCAGGCACACAUCUCACUCCAAGUAAAUCAGACCUAAAGUGAUUGUGUAUAGGUGCCACAAACUGUCCAGGCACUAAGUACUUCAACACUGUUUACAACAUAC
rnacentral:rRNA from 1 species